CUAAGAACAAUUUAGCUUGAUCAUUUUAUCUCAGUUCACCAGCUUAUUGUGAUUUCCAGGCUGGCUCCUACUCUCUCUGUGAAGGAUAUAUUUAUGACUUAACUUUCUAACUAGACUAAGUCUUGAAGCAGGUAAACAGGGCAAAGGGAAUUAUGAUCACUAGCUCAAUUGAGGAUGGCUUCCGAGGACACAUUUGGUAGCAAGGGUUUUUCCUUGCUUAAAAGUAAUAAAGAAGGGGUCCCAUGCAGAGUCUGAGGAAUGCAGAAUGAAGUGAAAUUAUUCUCAUGACCUAAAAGAGUAACCAAUAGCUGUUCAUCAGGUCUAUUGAUCCCAGGCAAGCUUAUCCUGUUCAUGAAAUGCUGUGGCAAUUAGUUUUUUGAUAUGAAAAGACAAGACUACUAACUGCAACUUUCUGGAACAAAACUGAUCAGUGCUGUGAUAUAAUUACUGGCUUAAUAAACCCAACAUUUGAUGAUCCACAAUGGUGCAGUGGUUAGAGUGGCUACUGCAGGCUACUUCUUCUGAUUGCUGGCUGCCUGCAAUUUGGCAAUUCAAAUCUCACCAGACUCAAGGUUGACUCAGCCUUCCUUCCUUCCUAAAAUGUGAACCCAAAUUGAUGGGGGUAAUACGCUGACUCUUUAAACCUCUUAGAAGCACUAUAUUCAUUGCUGCCUAAGAUGAGAAUAACAACACCAGCUGCUUCUUCAAGAGAGUGUCCAUGGCAAGAAACCCAAUGUGCAUGUGGGUGCAGCAACAAUGAAGUGGGCCAUGAAGACUAUAAAAAAGAUGAAAUAAAAGCUUCCAAACCAA